rnacentral:misc_RNA from 1 species
UGUGGGAGCGAGCUUGCUCGCGAUAGCGGAGGUUCAGUUAGAAAUGAUGUCGACUGAUACACCGCCAUCGCGAGCAAGCUCGCUCCCACA